rnacentral:rRNA from 1 species
CUACACAUGCAGUCGAUGCGGCAGCGCGGGAGCAUCCUGGCGGCGAGCGGCGAACGGGUGAGUAAUGCUUCGGAAUCUACCCAGUAGUGGGGAAUAACCAGUCGAAAGACUGGCUAAUACCGCAUACGACCUAUGGGUGAAAGCGGGGGAUCGCAAGACCUCGCGCUAUUGGAUGAGCCGAAGUCGGAUUAGCUAGUUGGUGGGGUAAAAGCUCACCAAGGCGACGAUCCGUAGCUGGUCUGAGAGGACGACCAGCCACACUGGGACUGAGACACGGCCCAGACUCCUACGGGAGGCAGCAGUGGGGAAUAUUGGACAAUGGGGGCAACCCUGAUCCAGCGACGCCGCGUGUGUGAAGAAGGCCUGCGGGUUGUAAAGCACUUUUAGUGGGGAGGAAAAAAUCAGACCUAACACGUCUGACAUUGACUUAACCCAAAGAAAACAGCACCGGCUAACUCUGUGCCAGCAGCCGCGGUAAUACAG